GACGAACGCUGGCGGCGUGCUUAACACAUGCAAGUCGAACGGAAAGGCCCUGCUUUUGUGGGGUGCUCGAGUGGCGAACGGGUGAGUAACACGUGAGUAACCUGCCCUUGACUUUGGGAUAACUUCAGGAAACUGGGGCUAAUACCGGAUAGGAGCUCCUGCUGCAUGGUGGGGGUUGGAAAGUUUCGGCGGUUGGGGAUGGACUCGCGGCUUAUCAGCUUGUUGGUGGGGUAGUGGCUUACCAAGGCUUUGACUGGUAGCCGGCCUGAGAGGGUGACCGGCGACAUUGGGACUGAGGUACGGCCCAGACUCCUACGGGAGGCAGCAGUGGGGAAUAUUGCACAAUGGGCGGAAGCCUGAUGCAGCAACGCCGCGUGCGUGAUGACGGCCUUCGGGUUGUAAACCGCUUUCGCCUGUGACGAAGCGUGAGUGACGGUAAUGGGUAAAGAAGCACCGGCUAACUACGUG
rnacentral:rRNA from 1 species